rnacentral:lncRNA from 1 species
GGUGACCCGGAUGAUGGCGGCCGGCGCGGCCCUAGCCCUGGCCUUGUGGCUACUAAUGCCACCAGUGGAGGUGGGAGGGGCGGGGCCCCCGCCAAUCCAGGACGGUGAGUUCACGUUCCUGUUGCCGGCGGGGAGGAAGCAGUGUUUCUACCAGUCCGCGCCGGCCAACGCAAGCCUCGAGACCGAAUACCAGGGUGGAGCCAACGGAGGCCGGGGACUACAAGCUGUGCUUUGACAACUCCUUCAGCACCAUCUCCGAGAAGCUGGUGUUCUUUGAACUGAUCUUUGACAGCCUCCAGGAUGACGAGGAGGUCGAAGGAUGGGCAGAGGCUGUGGAGCCCGAGGAGAUGCUGGAUGUUAAAAUGGAGGACAUCAAGGAGUCCAUUGAGACCAUGCGGACCCGGCUGGAGCGCAGCAUCCAGAUGCUCACGCUACUGCGGGCCUUCGAGGCACGUGACCGCAACCUGCAAGAGGGCAACUUGGAGCGGGUCAACUUCUGGUCAGCUGUCAACGUGGCGGUGCUGCUGCUGGUGGCUGUGCUGCAGGUCUGCACGCUCAAGCGCUUCUUCCAGGACAAGCGCCCGGUGCCCACGUAGCCCCUGCCAUGGAAGGAAGA